UUUUUAUAAUAUUUUUAUUGAGCCAUAUAUACUCCUAUAAAUAAUGACAUAACUUUGUGUUUAGUCAUUCAUACAUUACUAAAUAACAUCAAAAUUCAUCAUAUUUAGACAAAAACGUUUCAUUCAAUAUACAAAAAAUCAGAUUAGACAAAAGUGGAAUAAAAGACAAAUAUAAAUAGUAGCAUAAAAUAAUAUCAAAGACAUUAUAAUAAAACAUAAAAAAAACAUAUGAGAUGAGAGAUUAGAGAAGAUGAAAAAAAAACAUAAGAGAUGCGAGGUUGAGAAGAAAAGUGCAAUAAAAACAUAAUUGAAAGAGAAAAUAGUAACAUAAAAGAUAAAAAAGAAAGAACAUAAUAGAGGAUUU
rnacentral:lncRNA from 1 species